CCCUUAGAUGUUCUGGGCUGCACGCGCGCUACACUGACGGAGCCAACGAGUACUUUCCUUGUCCGGAAGGACUGGGUAAUCUUGUGAAACUUCGUCGUGCUGGGGAUAGAGCAUUGCAAUUAUUGCUCUUCAACGAGGAAUUCCUAGUAAGCGUGAGUCAUCAGCUCGCGUUGAUUACGUCCCUGCCCUUUGUACACACCGCCCGUCGCUACUACCGAUUGAAUGGCUUAGUGAGCCUUUGGGAUUGGCAGCUUGUACCGGCAACGGUAGCAGGCCGCUGAAAACUUAGGCAAACUUGGUCAUUUAGAGGAAGUAAAAGUCGUAACA
rnacentral:rRNA from 1 species